GCGUGGCGCGACUUGACUUUUCUAGAAGCGUAUCGUGCCUCUUUCUCUUCCUUCCUCUCUCCGUCUCCACUCCCCCGUCCUAAAUUGCGCCGCCUUCGGUGCUGGCCGAGAUGCCGCUGGGUUGAGCACCUCCACUCCUCCCUCUGCUUGCCGCCGUCGAUCUGCGCUCACGGGCGAAGCCCGGUCGACGUCGAUGGGCCCUUGCCCUUCUCUCUCUCCCCGCUCGGUGGUGAACGACGCUGGACGACUCCGUCGAGCGGCGGCGUUGCGCUGCCGUAUGGCGCGGCGGCUCAGUGGAGAGCGCUGCAGCAGCGCGGUGGUGAGCACUGGUGGUGUGCGUUGGUUCUCGGCGUAGAUGUCCCGCGGAGGUGGCACCCGUGGCUGCGGCGCCGGUCAGGAAUGUGGCUAAACGGUGGUCUUUGGCGGUUUACGGUGGAGGCCGGGGGUUGUGUGGGGAACCGGAGUCGGAGAUGGCCGUGGUCGGCGCUACCGAGGCUGGCCGGCGGCCGGCGUGGACGGCUGACUUGGUGCCCCUGUCAAGAUGUAAAGAUGCCAUUUAUGGAGAGUCAUGGGCUCCGGUGCAGGGGUCUGGUGGUGCCCCGCUGCCAAGUUUCGGCAGCGCAAGGAGCGGUAGGGAUCCGGAUCGAGCACCACGGUGGAGCGCUAGGUCCUUGCAGAGGCAGGACGAGCAACAACAGCAGCCGACCUUGGCGAGGACAAAGGGAAGAUCUCUCCCAUCCCAUAUGCCAACCAAUGUCCUCUCUCUCUCUGACAUCCCCAAAUUUUUGGAAAGGAUUGUCAACACCGGUGCAUUGUUGACUCGUGAUUUGUGCCUCAUCUCGAUGAGCCCCACCCAAUCUCCAAUUAGUGCAGGUCAAUAAAAUGGAAGGCUGCAUCGCAGCCAAUUGAAUGGACCAGUCCAGAGAUAAAAUAAAGAAAGGUUCGAUAUACAGGUUCGAGUCGUUUAUCGUUGCUGCCGCGUGGAGCAAAUACAGGGCAACAGAUCAUACAUAUAGAAUUGAAAUUACCCAACGUAGAGGUUAUCUAUUCGGUUCCUCAACCUGAAAACUUUCUUCUGUUCGCAUGUAAAGCAACGUCAGUUCACACCAUUUUCUGCAUCAACUACUUAACCUGUAGGUGCAUUGUAGCUUCUACCAUCAGACAAUGUGACAACUGAUGACUACCUAAGGCUGUUUCGGUAAUCUCCCACUGAACUGUGGUCAUCAGAAUAACAUGUAUUUUUAUCUACGAGAGGACUGUGCGAACAGCAUAUUGUUUCUUCUGAAUUCAUCACGAUUUGGUCAUCAUAUUCUUCGGUCUAGCUAUAAAAUGCCACUAACUUUUGCGACUGCUACUGAAUAUGUAAAGUGCAUGGUUACAUGUUAAUGCAGCCGAACGCUAUGCCGGUGAGCUUGGCUAUUAAGCAACUCAGAUCUAAUCUUU